UUAACAAAAACAUGUCCUCUUGAGCUUUAAUUUGAGGUCGGACCUGCCCCCUGACGAUAAGUUAAAGGGCCGCGGUAUAUUGACUGUGCAAAGGUAGCAUAAUCAUUAGUCUUUUAAUUGAAGGCUGGUAUGAAUGGUUUGACGAAACAUUAACUGUCUCUACGUAAUAAAUAUAAGUUAACUUUUGAGUCAAAAGGCUUAAAUGAAUAUAAAAGACGAGAAGACCCUAUAGAUCUUUAUAUAAAGGUAUAAUUGUUUUGUUUAGGCGUAUUUUUAAUAAUUGUAUUAUUGUAUUUUGUUGGGGUGACAUGAAGAUAUAAAUAACUCUUUAUAGUUAUAACAUUGAUUUAUGAAUAAAUGAUCCGUUAUUAGCGAUUAGAAGAUAAAGUUACCUUAGGGAUAACAGCGUAAUUUUUUUUAAGAGUUCUUAUCGACAAAAGAGAUUGCGACCUCGA
rnacentral:rRNA from 1 species